rnacentral:rRNA from 1 species
GACGAACGCUGGCGGCGUGCUUAACACAUGCAAGUGGAGCGACGAACCAGGGCUGCCUGGGGCAGAGCCGCGAACGGGUGAGUAACACGUGGGUAACGUGCCCGAUGAUCGGGACAACCCGGGAAACCGGGCUAAUACCGAAUGUGCUCCCCUCACACCAGUGAGGGAUGGAAAGGAAGCUUCGGCCUCCGCAUCGGGAUCGGCCCGCGGCCCAUUAGCUUGUUGGUGAGGUAACGGCUCCACCAAGGCUGCGAUGGGUA